rnacentral:lncRNA from 1 species
GUAUAGAAGUCCAUCAGCAGCUCCUUGAUGGUGUAUUAAAACGAAGUGGCAGCCCCUUCUGCAGGAGAUACCGUAUUCUAUUAAAGGAGACCAAAUGAGAGAAAGAAACUCUAGAGGCUAAAAGCCACUUCAAGUCUUCAGACCGAUUGAUCUGUAUUCUCUUGUUAUAAUCCGUCUCAUCAUACUUGAGUUAAUGAGGCAAAAGAGGGGGAGCGGAAUCUGAUGGUCCUUGACAAAUUCAUUAGGGAGGCUGCAGGACAUUUUAUUUGACUGUUAAACAUCUUGUUUGUUUGGUUUAGGCAGUGCCAACAUCAGCAUGCUUCUGCCCAGACUUAUCAUGUUGGUCUGGCUACAGACAUUCCUAAAAAGAGAAGGAGGACACACAGUGUGUGAUUUGAGUAUUUUGUUUUGGAUUUCAUGUAGCUCAUAACCUUCAGACUUCUCUAGGAUUUACCUUCAUUGUCCUUACACUAGGAACAUUUUAUGAGACUAUAGAUGAUAAUACUGAGGUGGGCAUGUUUUUAGUUACUAUAAACUCAGAUAUGUAUGUUUAAACUUUAGUCUGAAAAG